UAGUCCACGCCGUAAACGAUGAGAACUAGAUGUUGGGAGGGUUGCCUCUCGGUGUCGCAGCUAACGCGUUAAGUUCUCCGCCUGGGGAGUACGCCGGCAACGGUAAAACUCAAAGGAAUUGACGGGGACCCGCACAAGCGGUGGAGCAUGUUGCUUAAUUCGAGGCAACGCGAAGAACCUUACCUGGGUUUGACAUGUACCGAAAAGCCAUAGAGAUAUGGUGUCCUUCGGGCGGUACGACAGGUGGUGCAUGGCUGUCGUCAGCUCGUGUCGUGAGAUGUUGGGUUAAGUCCGCAACGAGCGCAACCCUCGUCCUGUGUUGCCAGCAAGUUAUGUUGGGGACGUCGCAGGAGACUGCCGGGGUCGAACUCGGAGGAAGGUGGGGAGUGACGUCAAGUCAUCAUGCCCCUUAUGUCCAGGGCUGCAAACAUGCUACAAUGGCAGGUACAACGGGCAGCGACACCGCGAGGUGAAGCGAAUCCCUUAAAGCCUGUCUCAGUUCGGAUCGAAGU
rnacentral:rRNA from 1 species